GUUUCUGGUAAUCUGUAAAUACUCAGAAAAGAAGUAUAGGGAAGAAUGUGAGGCGUUUCAUGUCUCUCACACAGUUCAAGAAAGAAUAAAUUUCACACACUUAUUAAACAUAUAUUAAGAGGCAAGGAUAUUUUGUAAUUUCUCUGUAUGUAUAGAAUUGCUUAAUAUUCUUUGUGAUAGAUUGAUUUCGCUGAUGGCUCUAAUUCUUCGCCCAGCCCUGCAUUCUAAACCUUCUGUAUCACUCGGUUGACUCUGCAGUUUCUGCCGUCGAGAGGAUGAUUGGGUGACUUGUCUCCACUCCACAUGUCUCUCAUUUCUCAUCAGAUAUUCAGGGAUGCCUUAGCCUAGGAAGCCUAGAAAUCUUGAUAGCCAGCUGAUCCACUCCAACAUACAAGGAGUACAUCCAAGAUCAACAAAACCAUCUGACAGCCAUUCUAGAUGUUUCCAAUUUUUCCUGAUUGACAUCACCAAGAACUAAAAUCCAACUGGGACUGGAGGUUGCCUUACAGGUGGCCUUUUCUGCAAGGAUUUGAGGAAGCCCUGGAAGCUAAAGCCCAACUAUUUGAGAUCAGCUUUGAAGGACCCAUCACCAGCAGACCAGUUUUUAAAUCUUCACACAAGUAUGAAGAAUCCGUGGAAAGUUCAAGCAUAAGGUCUUCCUCUUCAUCAUAAAUGACCAGAGUGCCGCCAUGAAAUGCACAGACUACAGCAUCAAAAUCACAUGGGAGGUAAUUUUAAAAAAUACAUCCUUGAAUCUCACCCUAAACUUAUUAAAUGAGAAACUCGAGAGCC
rnacentral:lncRNA from 1 species